rnacentral:rRNA from 1 species
AGGACUAACGCUGGCGGCGUGCCUAACACAUGCAAGUCGAACGAGGUAGCAAUACCUAGUGGCAGACGGGUGAGUAACGCGUGGUCAACCUACCUCUUAGUGGGGGAUAACUAGCCGAAAGGUUAGCUAAUACCGCAUACGAUCGUCGCGAGGCAUCUCGUGACGAUGAAAGGAGCAAUUCGCUAAGAGAGGGGACUGCGUCCCAUUAGUUAGUUGGUGGGGUAAUGGCCCACCAAGACUCCGAUGGGUAGCUGGCUUGAGAGAGCGACCAGCCACACUGGAACUGAGACACGGUCCAGACUCCUACGGGAGGCAGCAGUGAGGAAUUUUCCGCAAUGGGCGCAAGCCUGACGGAGCGACGCCGCGUGUGGGAAGAAGGCCUUCGGGUCGUAAACCACUGUCGAGGGGACGAUAUUGACGGUACCCUUGGAGGAAGCCCCGGCUAACUACGUGCCAGCAGCCGC